rnacentral:ribozyme from 1 species
GUUGCUCUAAUAAUCACACACCUCUUCGUGGUGAGAAGCAGGCAACGAUCUGUGAUCGGCAGAGAUGUGAUA